rnacentral:rRNA from 1 species
GUGGGCGGCGUGCUAUACAUGCAAGUCGAGCGAACAGAUGAGAAGCUUGCUUCUCUGAUGUUAGCGGCGGACGGGUGAGUAACACGUGGGUAACCUACCUAUAAGACUGGGAUAACUCCGGGAAACCGGGGCUAAUACCGGAUAAUAUUUUGAACCGCAGGUUCAAUAGUGAAAGACGGUUUCGGCUGUCACUUAUAGAUGGACCCGCGCCGUAUUAGCUAGUUGGUAAGGUAACGGCUUACCAAGGCGACGAUACGUAGCCGACCUGAGAGGGUGAUCGGCCACACUGGAACUGAGACACGGUCCAGACUCCUACGGGAGGCAGCAGUAGGGAAUCUUCCGCAAUGGGCGAAAGCCUGACGGAGCAACGCCGCGUGAGUGAUGAAGGUCUUCGGAUCGUAAAACUCUGUUGUUAGGGAAGAACAAAUUUGUUAGUAACUGAACAAGUCUUGACGGUACCUAACCAGAAAGCCACGGCUAACUACGUGCCAGCAGCCGCGGUAAUACGUAGGUGGCAAGCGUUAUCCGGAAUUAUUGGGCGUAAAGCGCGCGUAGGCGGUUUCUUAAGUCUGAUGUGAAAGCCCACGGCUCAACCGUGGAGGGUCAUUGGAAACUGGGAAACUUGAGUGCAGAAGAGGAGAGUGGAAUUCCAUGUGUAGCGGUGAAAUGCGCAGAGAUAUGGAGGAACACCAGUGGCGAAGGCGGCUCUCUGGUCUGUAACUGACGCUGAUGUGCGAAAGCGUGGGGAUCAAACAGGAUUAGAUACCCUGGUAGUCCACGCCGUAAACGAUGAGUGCUAAGUGUUAGGGGGUUUCCGCCCCUUAGUGCUGCAGCUAACGCAUUAAGCACUCCGCCUGGGGAGUACGACCGCAAGUUGAAACUCAAGAUGACGGGGACCCGCACAGCGUGAGCAUGUGUUUAUCGAGCACGCGAGACUACAAAUCUGACAUCUUUGACGCUCUAGAGAUGAGUCUCCCCUCGGGGACAAGUGACAGUGUGCAUGUGUCGUCAGCUCUGUCCUGGAUGUGGUAGUCGCACGAGCGCACCUAAGCUAGUGCAUCAUAUGGCAUCUAGUGACUGCGUGCAAACCGACGAAAGGAUAC